GAUGAACGCUGGCGGCGUGCCUAAUACAUGCAAGUCGAGCGAACGGACGAGAAGCUUGCUUCUCUGAUGUUAGCGGCGGACGGGUGAGUAACACGUGGAUAACCUACCUAUAAGACUGGGAUAACUUCGGGAAACCGGAGCUAAUACCGGAUAAUAUUUUGAACCGCAUGGUUCAAAAGUGAAAGACGGUCUUGCUGUCACUUAUAGAUGGAUCCGCGCUGCAUUAGAUAGUUGGUAAGGUAACGGCUUACCAAGGCAACGAUGCAUAGCCGACCUGAGAGGGUGAUCGGCCACACUGGAACUGAGACACGGUCCAGACUCCUACGGGAGGCAGCAGUAGGGAAUCUUCCGCAAAGGGCGAAAGCCUGACGGAGCAACGCCGCGUGAGUGAUGAAGGUCUUCGGAUCGUAAAACUCUGUUAUUAGGGAAGAACAUAUGUGUAAGUAACUGUGCACAUCUUGACGGUACCUAAUCAGAAAGCCACGGCUAACUACGUG
rnacentral:rRNA from 1 species